UUACGGGAGGCAGCAGUAGGGAAUUUUCCGCAAUGGGCGAAAGCCUGACGGAGCAACGCCGCGUGAGGGAUGAAGGUCUUCGGAUCGUAAACCUUUGUCUAGAGGGACGAUAAUGACGGUACCUCUGGAGGAAGCCACGGCUAACUACGUGCCAGCAGCCGCGGUAAUACGUAGGUGGCAAGCGUUGUCCGGAAUUACUGGGCGUAAAGGGCGUGUAGGCGGCCUAUUAAGUCGGGCGUGAAAUCCAUGGGCUUAACCCAUGAAUUGCGUUCGAAACUGGUAGGCUUGAGGAUCGGAGAGGGCAGUGGAAUUCCCAGUGUAGCGGUGAAAUGCGUAGAUAUUGGGAGGAACACCAGUGGCGAAGGCGACUGCCUGGACGACACCUGACGCUGAGGCGCGAAAGCUAGGGGAGCAAACGGGAUUAGAUACCCCCGUAC
rnacentral:rRNA from 1 species